rnacentral:rRNA from 1 species
GACGAACGCUGGCGGCGUGCCUAAUACAUGCAAGUAGAACGCUGAAGAGAGGAGCUUGCUCUUCUUGGAUGAGUUGCGAACGGGUGAGUAACGCGUAGGUAACCUGCCUGGUAGCGGGGGAUAACUAUUGGAAACGAUAGCUAAUACCGCAUAAAAUUGAUUAUUGCAUGAUAAUUAAUUGAAAGAUGCAAUUGCAUCACUACCAGAUGGACCUGCGUUGUAUUAGCUAGUUGGUGAGGUAACGGCUCACCAAGGCGACGAUACAUAGCCGACCUGAGAGGGUGAUCGGCCACACUGGGACUGAGACACGGCCCAGACUCCUACGGGAGGCAGCAGUAGGGAAUCUUCGGCAAUGGGGGGAACCCUGACCGAGCAACGCCGCGUGAGUGAAGAAGGUUUUCGGAUCGUAAAGCUCUGUUGUAAGAGAAGAACGGGUGUGAGAGUGGAAAGUUCACACUGUGACGGUAUCUUACCAGAAAGGGACGGCUGACUACGUGCCAGCAGCCGCGGUAAUACGUAGGUCCCGAGCGUUGUCCGGAUUUAUUGGGCGUAAAGCGAGCGCAGGCGGUUAGAUAAGUCUGAAGUUAAAGGCUGUGGCUUAACCAUAGUAUGCUUUGGAAACUGUUUAACUUGAGUGCAGAAGGGGAGAGUGGAAUUCCAUGUGUAGCGGUGAAAUGCGUAGAUAUAUGGAGGAACACCGGUGGCGAAAGCGGCUCUCUGGUCUGUAACUGACGCUGAGGCUCGAAAGCGUGGGNAGCAAACAGG